UACGUAGGGGGCAAGCGUUGUCCGGAAUCAUUGGGCGUAAAGAGCGUGUAGGCGGCCCGGUAAGUCCGCUGUGAAAGUCCAGGGCUCAACCCUGGGAUGCCGGUGGAUACUGUCGGGCUCGAGUCCGGAAGAGGAGUGUGGAAUUCCUGGUGUAGCGGUGAAAUGCGUAGAUAUCGAGAGGAACACCUGCGGCGAAGGCGGGUUGCUGGGCUGAUACUGACGCUGAGGCGCGAAAGCCAGGGGAGCGAACGGG
rnacentral:rRNA from 1 species